rnacentral:rRNA from 1 species
AGUUAACGCUGGCGGUAGGCCUAACACAUGCAAGUCGAACGGCAGCACUUUAAUAGUUUGCUCUUACUGGUGGCGAGUGGCUGACUGGUGAGGAAUACAUUGGCAUCUACUUUUUCGUCGUUGCUAACGUAGGUAAACUUACGCUAAUACCGCAUAUGCCCUAUGGGUGAAAGCAGUGGAUCUUCGCACUUUGCGCGAUUUUAUCAGCCGAUGUUGGAUUUGCUACUUGUCGGAGUAAAGGCUCACCAAGGCGACGCUCCGUAGCUGGUCUGUGAGGAUGAUGAGCAACAGUGGAAUUGAGAGACGGUCCAGACUCAUACGGGAGGCAGCAGUGGGGAAUAUUGGACAAGAGGCGGAAGCGUGAAACAGCCAUAAAGCGUGGGUGAAGAAGGCCUUCGAGUUGUAAAGACCUAGUGUGGGGAAAGAAAAGAAGAAGGUUAAGAACACGAAGAUCAGAAGAUAACCAAAGAAUAAGCACCGGCUAAAUUAGUG